UCGGUCCCGGUUCACGUGACGCAAUCAGCGCCACGACCCGGAGCC
rfam:Streptomyces rimosus subsp. rimosus ATCC 10970 contig00033, whole genome shotgun sequence.